GAUGAACGCUAGCGGCAGGCUUAAUACAUGCAAGUCGUGGGGCAGCAGGUUUGUAGCAAUACAGAUGCUGGCGACCGGCAAACGGGUGCGGAACACGUACAGAACCUUCCUUUGAGCGGGGAAUAGCCCAGAGAAAUUUGGAUUAAUACCCCAUAGUAUAAUGAAGUGGCAUCACUUUAUUAUUAAAGAUUUAUCACUCGAAGAUGGCUGUGCGGCUGAUUAGGUAGUUGGCGGGGUAAAGGCCCACCAAGCCUGCGAUCAGUAACUGGUGUGAGAGCACGACCAGUCACACGGGCACUGAGACACGGGCCCGACUCCUACGGGAGGCAGCAGUAAGGAAUAUUGGUCAAUGGAGGCAACUCUGAACCAGCCAUGCCGCGUGGAGGAUGAAGGUCCUCUGGAUUGUAAACUUCUUUUAUAUGGGACGAAAAAAGGCUUUUCUAAGUCGUCUGACGGUACCAUAUGAAUAAGCACGGGCUAACUCCGUGCCAG
rnacentral:rRNA from 1 species